CUUGGCAAGGGGGUGGUGUACGGCUCCAAGCAGGGUGCUGAAUGUACCAGAAGCACAAAUGUUGUUGUUGUGUUACAAUGUGACGCGACCGGGUGUUUCGAGAUAGCCAAUGUUAGCAUUCCAGCAAGAUGGAGGGAAGCAGACGGCUCAUGUUUGGCUGAGGGACGGAAAGUCAGAGGAAGGCUUGGAGUCAAGAGCCGCUUUCUCACUGCGUGCCAAUGCUGACUUUUUUCGGGACUCUCUACUCUCUCUUGUGGGUCCAAAUUCUCUUGGACUCACCCAAACUCGCACGUCAGGUAUUCCAGCUCCUCCCCUCUCGUCGGCGUUAUCAAACAAUGCACAUCCAAACUGGAAGCCAAUUCAAGGGCUUCUUUCCAAGGUUAUUAUGAUCCACGAAAACGAACGAAAUAAGUAAAAAUAAAACUGAAAAAAAAAACAUUUUCGUAAACGACAUAAAAAAGACCGUUUUAAAAAAACAUUAACUAAAACGAUAUUUUACGUUUGCAAAACGAACUAUAAUUAUAGAAAUUGUCCUUUGUUUACGUCUUUGUCGAUUCAUUUCAUACAUGAGCUUUCGGCGUUGAUUUUAAAUAUUUUUUUCCGGAUAAAUACAUUGAUACAGAACGGUUGAAAGGUUCUUUGGGAAUUGUAGUUCACUUACUAUGUGUCGCCUAGAAACGACGUCAUCGGGCAGCACCAUCGAAUUGACUGCUCACCAGACCAAGCGCAAGUUUUGCCGCGAAGCUAACUUUUAGCUAGCGCCUUCACGAAACCUCUACUUCGGUUAUUCGUCUUUUGGGGAAAACUCAGAUGAACGGACAACUGCCAAGAGUCUCAAAAUGCCGCUGUUUACCGCCACGAAAGGCAAAUGUGAAAGCUGACAAAGAAUUUCUCAGCAAGUGAUUGAACGACUGCAACAAAAAAGACAGCAACAGCAGGAAAACCUGAAAAGCUUUGUCACAAACACCGUGGACUCAAGAAAACAGACUGAAUCCACUUUCACUGGAAAUACAACAGAAUCCAGCAAGCUGUAAAAUCAGUGGCUUGAUUUUGUCACCCCCAAGUGAUAUGGGGAAAAGACUGCUUUGACAGAACCAAAGCAACUGUGCGUGACUCCCAACAGUAGCAUGGACUCCAUCAAUCAGAUAAACAGAAGCGCCAGCUUCUGCCAUGAAGACAAACCAUAUAAUUUCAUCUAACAAAGCUUCAAUGCUAACAUACUGUAUAAUGCAAAACGCCUUACCGCGCGAAAGGAAAUUAGCAUAGAUGUUGCAGUAAUUAUCAACUUUCAACCAACUGCUACUUUAAUACACACAGAGAAGCAACAAAUCCAAACAGAGCACAUACAAAUGCACACAGCUGCUACCUCGCCACUGAUACUACACUUGGAACUUUCCAUGUCUAUUCUACGCUUACCUCUCCUGAAAGUGUUUGGACGGAACGAGUCCGGCGCGCAGGUUGCUGUCACCCACGCGCUUGGCCUGCCACCACGUAGGGUCAUCCUGGGUCACUAUCUGCAGGAUGUCGCCACGCUUGAAGGGAAGUCCGGCUUCUUGGCAUGGCGUGGCCUUAUCCUCCAACGGAAUGUAGUCGAAUAAGGCUCUCACGUACACCUGGUUUGAGUAGACGCACAAUCUUCACCGACUCCUCCUCCAGUUCGUCAUCGUAGUCGUCGGGCAGCGGCGGAAGGACAGGAUCGAAACUCUUCUGGGCCACCGUGUCGUGGACGGAAAGGAGGGCCUGGCAAGGACACCGCAGCACAGUAACUUCAGGUACGCCAAGCUCCUCUCGCUGAAAACAUCCUUGAGGAAGACCAUGUCCUCCUUGUGGUUGGCGUCGGGCCGCAGCUGCGAGGUGAGCAGGGCCAAUGUCUCGUGGAGCCCUGAGAGGGCGAAGAGGAGGAAUAACAUUAAGGAACAUGAGAGAGGAUGAUGAGGUUAGACCAUGGGCUCAUCUUACCUGCUCCUGCUGUGAGCACCGGCAUGGCUUCUUUCAUUGAUCCCCCAGGAGGGCGUGGUCCUUGCAACCCCGUGAACAUGGAGGGAAACUACUGCACCCCCUUUUCCACUGACAUAUUGAUGCUAUCCCAUCCCCCGCUAGCUCCCCCUGUCCUCAUCCUCCCUGCGCAGUAUCACGCCGCUCUU